rnacentral:lncRNA from 1 species
UAUAGGUCAGGUCCUAUUGAUGUGAUAUGCUAUAGGUCAGGUCCUAUUGAUGUGAUAUGCCAUAGGUCAGGUCCUAUUGAUGUGAUAUGCCAUAGGUCAGGUCCUAUUGAUGUGAUAUGCUAUAGGUCAGGUCCUAUUGAUGUGAUAUGCUAUAGGUCAGAUCCCAUUGACGUGAUAUGCUAUAGGUCAGGUCCUAUUGAUGUGAUAUGCUAUAGGUCAGGUCCUAUUUAUGUGAUAUGCUAUAGGUCAGGUCCUAUUGAUGUGAUUAGGAUAUGCUAUAGGUCAGGUCCUAUUGAUGUGAUUAGGAUAUGCUAUAGGUCAGAUCCUAUUGAUGUGAUAUGCUAUAGGUCAGGUCCUAUUUAUGUGAUAUGCUAUAGGUCAGGUCCUAUUUAUGUGAUAUGCUAUAGGUCAGGUCCUAUUGAUGUGAUUAGGAUAUGCUAUAGGUCAGGUCCUAUUUAUGUGAUAUGCUAUAGGUCAGGUCCUAUUUAUGUGAUAUGCUAUAGGUCAGGUCCUAUUUAUGUGAUAUGCUAUAGGUCAGGUCCUAUUUAUGUGAUAUGCUAUAGGUCAGGUCCUAUUGAUGUGAUUAGGAUAUGCUAUAGGUCAGGUCCUAUUUAUGUGAUAUGCUAUAGGUCAGGUCCUAUUGAUGUGAUUAGGAUAUGCUAUAGGUCAGGUCCUACUGAUGUGAUUAUGAUAUGCCAUAGGUCAGGUCCUAUUGAUGUGAUAUGCUAUAGGUCAGGUCCUAUUGAUGUGAUAUGCUAUAGGUCAGGUCCUAUUGAUGUGAUAUGCUAUAGGUCAGGUCCUAUUGAUGUGAUAUGCUAUAGGUCAGGUCCUAUUGAUGUGAUAUGCUAUAGGUCAGGUCCUAUUGAUGUGAUAUGCUAUAGGUCAGGUCCUAUUGAUGUGAUAUGCUAUAGGUCAGGUCUUAUUGAUGUGAUAUGCUAUAGGUCAGGUCCUAUUGAUGUGAUAUGCUAUAGGUCAGGUCCUAUUGAUGUGAUAUGCUAUAGGUCAGGUCCUUUUGAUCACGUACGAUGCUGUACAUGUGUCACGUAA